rnacentral:lncRNA from 13 species
CUAUAAUGUUACAUACGUCAUCACUUUUUCAGUACUUACAGUGAAUAUCAAAACACAACCUUAGUCUGCUACACUUCGUCGGCUUGGAGUUGGUUUUGGAGUAAUUUUUCCACGCAGUGUUACUCCAAUAUCAAGUUUUGCAAAGAUAUUAUUGGAAGAUAUUGGAAGUUUAGACGAAGAACGUAAUUCACCAACUAAUGGAGAAGAUCGACAGGUGUUUUUGGCUGUAGAAAAAAAUCCUGACGGGUAGGGGCAAACUGAGGUCAUAUUCGAUUUCAGCAGGCGAAAAUACAUGGGAAUACCAUGGUCUACUCCAGGGCGGAGACAACUUUUUUUUUGUGGGCCUGUGUAUUAAAGUUAGCAACUUUUACACAUAAGUCAUCCUAUCCUAGCCCAACAUAAAACGUACAUUUUGCACUGUAGAUUUAAAAUGGCCCGAGUAUUGUUGUU